AUUGAACGCUGGCGGAAUGCUUUACACAUGCAAGUCGAACGGCAGCAUAGGUGCUUGCACCUGAUGGCGAGUGGCGAACGGGUGAGUAAUACAUCGGAACGUGCCCAGUCGUGGGGGAUAACGUAGCGAAAGUUACGCUAAUACCGCAUACGAUCUACGGAUGAAAGCGGGGGACCGUAAGGCCUCGCGCGAUUGGAGCGGCCGAUGUUAGAUUAGGUAGUUGGUGGGGUAAAGGCUCACUAAGCCGACGAUCUAUAGCUGGUCUGAGAGGAUGAUCAGCCACACUGGGACUGAGACACGGCCCAGACUCCUACGGGAGGCAGCAGUGGGGAAUUUUGGACAAUGGGCGCAAGCCUGAUCCAGCCAUUCCGCGUGCAGGACGAAGGCCUUCGGGUUGUAAACUGCUUUUGUACAGAACGAAAAGCUCUGGGUUAAUACCCUGGGGUCAUGACGGUACUGUAAGAAUAAGCACCGGCUAACUACGUG
rnacentral:rRNA from 1 species